ensembl:lncRNA
UUGUUUUUAAUAAUUGGCUACACCGGGUCUUAGUUGCUGCACAUGGGAUCUUCAGCCUUCAUUGCAGCAUACGGGAGCAGCAUGUGGGAGCUAGUUCCCUGACCGCGGAUUGAACCCAGGCCCCCUGCAUUGGGAAUGUGGGGUCGAAGCCCCUGAAUCACCAGAGAAGUCAGUAGAAGAGAGUUUUGCCACCUUGUACUGAAUAAAUGGUCUUCCAUCAGGAGGGAGGAGUCAUCCUGGAGGAUAGGAGUCCUUGAAUCUGGUUUCACACUCAUUUUGGAGACUGGGUUAAAAGCACUGCCCCAUUUUUUCUGGACUCAGGAAGAAGAUGCCGAGGUUGCAUGCACAGCCCACUCCCAGGGAAGCAGUAUGGAGCAGCCUAGGAAACCUGUCCCAACAAUCCGACUGAGCUCCUACUUCUUGUCUUUGUGACUUUAGGCCUUUUACCCAAACUCUCAAAAUCUCAGUUUCCUUCUUGGAAAACGGGGACAACAAAAAUACCUGCCUCUUGGAAUCACUGCACAGGCGGAAGGAAAUCAUCCACGUAGAGUGCUUGGCACACACCUGGUAAAGUUUCCGUGGAUGUCAGCUGUUGCUUUUUUUUUCCUUCUAGUUCCAAAGUCUCAGCUCAUUCCCCUCUACCUCAGUGUCCCCCACUCCUGGGAGGGGGGGCACUUUUUUUUCCCCAGAAAACUCUAGUUUACCAGUGGGUAAACCUGCUUGCUGACAGAAGAAAAACACCCAAAGGAAACAGGACUAUUUCACUAGGCCUGCUACCUCAUUCAAUAGUCACAACUCACACCCUGAAGUUUCUUCACAUAUAAAAGAGUGUCAAUGGAGAGAUGUUAAUUUUUCAAGACCUGCUCUCAGGUUCCAUCGUGCACUUACAGGAAGUAGAAGUUUGAUGGAGUGAAAAUCAAUACGUCUAUGGGUCUUACAAGAUGACCAGCUACUAGCUCAUCCAUGGGUUUUGGCUUGUCCUGCUUGGCUUCAGAAGAAGCUGCUCUCAGAGCCAUCAGGGUGUUCCCAAGAUGCUGGCAGCACUGUGCAUCUGCACUGGUGACAAGACCAAGGGACCACUCAGGGUGUUCUCAUUCCAGUCACUUAGCAGCUUGAAGUCUUUCUUCAGGAAAACAUGGCUCCAGUUCCCACGUCAGGAUCUUUGCCUGUCUCAUAAGACUUUUUCUACAUGUUUCUACCUGACACUAAUGACCCAUAAUGAACAAUGUAAAGAUGGUAGGGGCCCAGGAGGGGGAAAUGAGCAUUGGUGCAUUAUUUGGGGGCAUGAAGGGGAAGAAUAUCAUAAGGAAAAUAAUUCAAGAAGAAAGGAAGAGGACUUCCAUUCUGCAGGGUGGAAUAAAUGUUUGACUGAGCAGCAUUCUGUCCAGCUGGGGAAAGGCCAAGACUAAUUUAACCUUUGGUCAAAUGGUUGGGAGUUAGCUGGUUUCCUUUUUCCUCUUACAUCACUCCCAGAGAUUCAGACAAAAAUAACAUGGUCCCGAUUAUAUGACAUUAUGGGCUCUGAAAAUACACUAGGGAGGAUAGUGUUGAAACCCCUUCGAGACAAAUUAAUCCUAGCAAGGCAACAGCUGUAAGACUGAUACAAACAGAAGAAACAACAGCAUAUUGGUUCCAGGCUUGUUUAAGAG